rnacentral:rRNA from 1 species
UGGGGAAUAUUGGACAAUGGGGGCAACCCUGAUCCAGCAAUGCCGCGUGUGUGAAGAAGGCCUGCGGGUUGUAAAGCACUUUCAGUAGGGAAGAAAAGCCUGGGGCUAAUACCUCCGGGUCUUGACGUUACCUAAAGAAGAAGCACCGGCUAACUCCGUGCCAGCAGCCGCGGUAAUACGGAGGGUGCGAGCGUUAAUCGGAAUUACUGGGCGUAAAGCGCACGUAGGCGGUCUGGUAAGUCGGAUGUGAAAGCCCCGGGCUUAACCUGGGAAUUGCAUUCGAUACUGCCUGACUGGAGUAUGGGAGAGGGAAGCGGGAAUUUCCGGUGUAGCGGUGAAAUGCGUAGAUAUCGGAAGGAACAUCAAUGGACGAAGGCAGCUUCCUGGCCCAAUACUGACGCU